rnacentral:rRNA from 1 species
UACAGAGGGUGCAAGCGUUAAUCGGAAUUACUGGGCGUAAAGCGCGCGUAGGUGGUUCGUUAAGUUGGAUGUGAAAUCCCCGGGCUCAACCUGGGAACUGCAUUCAAAACUGUCGAGCUAGAGUAUGGUAGAGGGUGGUGGAAUUUCCUGUGUAGCGGUGAAAUGCGUAGAUAUAGGAAGGAACACCAGUGGCGAAGGCGACCACCUGGACUGAUACUGACGCUGAUGCGCGAAAGCCAGGGGAGCGAACGGG